rnacentral:rRNA from 1 species
UAACGCGAAGAACCUUACCAGGUCUUGACAUCCCAAUGGCCGCUUUAGAGAUAGAGCCUUCCCUUCGGGGACAUUGGUGACAGGUGGUGCAUGGUUGUCGUCAGCUCGUGUCGUGAGAUGUUGGGUUAAGUCCCGCAACGAGCGCAACCCUUGAUCUUAGUUGCCAGCAUUGAGUUGGGCACUCUAAGGUGACUGCCGGUGACAAACCGGAGGAAGGUGGGGAUGACGUCAAAUCAUCAUGCCCCUUAUGACCUGGGCUACACACGUGCUACAAUGGAUGGUACAAAGGGCAGCGAGACCGCAAGGUGGAGCGAAUCCCAUAAAACCAUUCUCAGUUCGGAUUGCAGGCUGCAACUCGCCUGCAUGAAGCCGGAAUCGCUAGUAAUCGCGGAUCAGCAUGCCGCGGUGAAUACGUUCCCGGGCCUUGUACACACCGA